CUCCUGGUAGGGACGCCCCAUUAGCAAGGUCUGGGUUUGUAAGAAAAGGUUCCUAACUAGUGGUUAUGAAGGAGACAAGGUCCCCAUUUUCAGGGGCUGGUAAUUUCUUUGGCCAGGAGGGGUGCGUCCUCUGCAGCAGAAGGUUGGAUCCAGGGGGAUGACUCCAGCUCAUGAGUUUCUUGACUCCCUCCUGUGUUUUUUUUCUCUCUCUCUCUCUCCUCUAAUGUGUUGGCCAACACACACUGUCUGUCUGUCUCUCUCACUCUGUCUCUGUCCUUGCUGCUUCUUGUGCUGUCUCCCUUCAUAGGACAUGGAUAGGAGUGCUAGAUGUGCGUCCCCACAGGCUAGAUCUCGGGAGCUAUGAACAAAUAGGAGGGGAUGAAAAUCAUGCAGGGUAUUGGGCUCUAGAGUGGAGCAGUGUCUGUGGAUGUUGACUCAGUCUCUGUUCAUCGAGUCGAGCGGAUGUAGAUGGGAUGGGAGAGGGAGGCAGGGAUGAGGGCAAGAUUAAAUGCAUCAGUAGUGCUGUGUGUAGUGAUUGUAUUUGCCUGUCUUUAUUAGUUUGCAGAGGAAUCAUCCAGGAGCUCUCGCCGGACGAGAAUAUGCAGAAGUGGACGUGAGCAGCCUGGGCAUCCUUCUGAGGAGACCUCAACAGUCUUCAGGUUUCUGCCUUCUGCCUAACUGGCUUAGCAAGAGAAAAGAAGUCACAGGCCAGAGUCUACUGCCCUCGUGCAAUGGAAAGAGAGCAAGAGCGAUGAGUCUGCAAGCGUUGUUGAUGAGAGGCAGAAGGCGUCCAUCUGGGAGCGGAACCGCCACCACUCUCAAUGAGAAGUGCCUUCUUUGGUGAUGGCUCUGCUCAAGGCCCAUCUUGCUCCUGGGGCUGCUCAUGUCUCUGGCCAGGACCAGUGUGUCCUCCGCAGCAUAUUAAAUCC